rnacentral:rRNA from 1 species
AUUGAACGCUGGCGGCAUGCCUUACACAUGCAAGUCGAACGGCAGCACGGGAGCAAUCCUGGUGGCGAGUGGCGAACGGGUGAGUAAUAUAUCGGAACGUGCCCAGUCGUGGGGGAUAACGCAGCGAAAGCUGUGCUAAUACCGCAUACGAUCUACGGAUGAACGCGGGGGAUCGCAAGACCUCGCGCGAUUGGAGCGGCCGAUAGCAGAUUAGCUAGUUGGUGAGGUAAAGGCUCACAAAGGCGACGAUCCGUAGCUGGUCUGAGAGGACGACCAGCCACACUGGAACUGAGACACGGUCCAGACUCCUACGGGAGGCAGCAGUGGGGAAUUUUGGACAAUGGGCGAAAGCCUGAUCCAGCAAUGCCGCGUGCAGGAUGAAGGCCUUCGGGUUGUAAACUGCUUUUGUACGGAACGAAACGGUGAGCUCUAAUACAGUUUGCUAAUGACGGUACCGUAAGAAUAAGCACCGGCUAACUACGUGCCAGCAGCCGCAGUAA